rnacentral:rRNA from 1 species
GACAGAGGAUGCAAGCGUUAUCCGGAAUGAUUGGGCGUAAAGCGUCUGUAGGUGGCUUUUUAAGUUCGCCGUCAAAUCCCAGGGCUCAACCCUGGACAGGUGGUGGAAACUACCAAGCUAGAGUACGGUAGGGGCAGAGGGAAUUUCCGGUGGAGCGAUGAAAUGCGUAGAGAUCGGAAGGAACACCCAAGGCGAAAGCACUCUGCUGGGCCGACACUGACACUGAGAGACGAAAGCUAGGGGAGCAAGUGGG